CCCUAAUGGUCAAUGUGACAAGAUAUAUCUUAGAUGGUUACGAGAAAAUGGAAGUAGAAGUCGAUUACAAAACAAAUAUGGUAAAAGAGAUUAAGAUUGGAUCUCCAAAACGUCCUUCCAAGAAAAGAAAAAAAGAAUCUUCAAACUCAGAGCAUACAACAACGAAACAGAAAGAAAACAAUGGUGAACUACAUUUAGGAAAUGAAGUGGCACUCAUGUGUGAAAUGAUCGAGCUCAAACAAACAAGUGAGUUUGUGGUAGGUUAUUAAAAUUUUAGUGGUACAUAAACAAUCUCAUGAAGUUGGACAAUCACAUUUACUAUAAUGAUGUUAAAUCCAAGCAGGUUCGCUCGAU